ACCAGGACGGUCCCAUACACAGCCAGGAACGGGGCGGACAUCAUGGCGUAGCGCCGCCGGUCCCUCAUCAUCCAAAUUAUACAGGACCACACCAGCAGGGCAAAAGUCAGCCAGUUGUUGUUACCUCCUGCUUAUCUCCUGAGACGUAGAGGACCCUGGAGAAGCUUGGAGGAGCAUCUGGACUUUCUACUGGACUCUCACACUCCUCAUCAUCAACAGUAUCCUGAGAAAUGCAACUGCUGUUAAAGACAUCAUCUGGUGGCACGAGCUCCUGAGACAGAGGUAGCUGGUAGAGGUACAGAGCCAGAAGGUGUCCUCCGCUGAAGAUGGCCAUCAUUACACACAAGGAGCUGAAGAGUAGC